AUUGGUUGUGUGUGUCUAUUGUCAAAGCAUCAUGCUUAACAUGAUAAGGGCAGUGGAAACUACACAACUAGAAGUGCGUUCGGGGCAGAGGGAAUUGCCUGGUGUAGCGGUGAAAUGCGUCAGAGAUCAGGAAGAACACCGGUGGCGAAAGCGCUCUGCUAGGCCGUAACUGAGACUGAGGGACGAAAGCUAGGGGAGCGAAUGGGAUUAGAUACCCCCAGUAGUCCUAGCCGUAAACGAUGGAUACUAGGCGUUGAGAGUUAUCGACCCUCUCAGUGCCGUAGCUAACGCGUUAAGUAUCCCGCCUGGGGAGUAC
rnacentral:rRNA from 1 species